AGCAGGAUGACCGAGUGGUUAAGGCAUUGGACUUAAGCUCCAAUGGACAUCUGUCCGCGUGGGUACAAACCCAACUAUUGGUA
rnacentral:tRNA from 1 species